UUUAAUUCGACAGUGCAGGUUAAGAGAAUUUUCUGACUUGAGGGCAGUAUUACAUAUAGCAAAAAGAAACAGGCAAAUCUGGAUUUGAAUGUGGUUCUACCACUUGCUCCUGGUAAGUUGUUUUUCCCUUGAGUUUCAGUUUCUUUUUACGGUUAAGUGGGAGUAAUACCACCUAUUUCACACGUCUGCUGUGGAAAUGCCUAGAGCACAGAUGCUUAGCAAAAGGAGCAGUGGACUUACAAGUGCCUAGAGGAAGGGCUUGGUGUGUGAAGGAGCCUGUGCUUAUACUCUCAGUGUUAGCCGUACUUUCUGACAUAAGACAAUAGGAGUUUUCCUGCAUAUGUAGGAGUACGAGUGGGUUUUUUUCUUUGUGAUUUUAAAAAUAUUUUUCAAGUUCUCUACAAUGAGGAUAGAUUUUCUAUUUUGGGAGUAAAUUUUAAAAGAUUUUAUUUUUAAGAUUUCAUUUAUUUGAUAGUGCAAGUGGGGCAGGAGCAGAGGGAGAGGGAUAAGCUGACUCCUCACUGAGUGCAGAGCCCAAUGUGAGGCUUGAUGGAUCCCACAAUCCUGAGAUCUUGACCCCAGCCAAAGUUAAGUCAGACACUUAACCUUUUAAGCCACCCAGAAGCCUUUAAAAGGUUUUAAAGAGGAUAAAUUAUUCUUAAAACUUUUUCAGCCUGCUUCUGAAGUUCUGUAUUUUGCCAUAUUUGGCAAAAUACUUGAAUUUUUAUGUAGCUAAUUGUAUCUCUGAAAAUUGGAUUUGUUAAAAUUCCUAUAUUUGCAAUUGAUUUAAUUUAUCUAUUUUUAGUUUUUGUUUUUUUAAGUAGGCUCUACACUCAAUGUGAGGCUUCAGCCUCACAACCCUCAGAACAAGACUUGUAUGCUCUACCAACGGAGUCAGCCAGGUGUCCCUCCUCCCUGCCCUUUAAAAAUAUUUUGUAGUUUUUUUCAAUUGACUUAAUAUCAAGCGAUGGACAUGAAAUUGCUUAUCUUAUUCCCAUAAUUGUUUUGCUUUCCAUGGACUCCACCUUCAUUCUGAUUUUUGACAAACAGAACAUAUUGAACAAUUUCAAUUUUGCCCCUUAUAGAACUUAAAAAAAAUGUUUUCUUUUGAAAUGUAAACUUGUUAUAGAGGUUUCAAAAAAAAGGUUUUUUUAAAGUUUAUUUAUGUGGGGAAUCCCUGGGUGGCUCAGCGGUUUGGCGCCUGCCUUUGGCCCAGGACGUGACCCUGGAGUCCCGGGAUCGAGUCCCACGUCAGGCUCCCUGUAUGGAGCCUACUUCUCCCUCUGCCUGUGUCUGCCUGUGUCUCUGCCUCUCUCUGUCU
rnacentral:lncRNA from 1 species